AUUUUCAUAGUUCAUAUCAACACUUAUAAUCACAAAGAAUACAUUUUUCUACAGUUUCUUCGUUAAAUAAUUUGUUUAAAUAUUUUACUAUCAAAUUUUAAGCAAAUGGCGAGAAUUUCCACCACCUUCUUCAUCAUUAGCUGAAUAUUGGCAGUUUUUCUAACAACGUGUAGUCCAACAUUGGCCCAAUACAUUGGAGAUAAUACUAGGUUUUUAUGUACGGCGGUUGGUGGAACUUGUGGAAUACCUGGAGCUUAUGGUUGUUGUGACAAUAUGAUCUGCUUUUUGUUGGAUCCCCAAAACCCUUAUGCUGGUGGAGUUUGUAGGUAUUAAUUGCAUCGACGGCGUCCCAUUGGUUCUAGAUUACGAGAUUACAAAACUUCUCGAUCAUCUUCUUAUCCAUGCACUUCGACUAUAGCACUUCUUAAUUUCACAAAUAAUAUCGAAUUUGCAAUUUUUCGAUAGUUGAUUCGUAAGAUUGAGUAUAUGUAGUUUGAAUGUCUGAUGUAAGCCUAUGAUUUAAUAAGUAUCUGGUAUCCCUUUGAGGUUGAGCAUUUUUAUCUCA